rnacentral:rRNA from 2 species
ACCUACAAGCGGUGGAUCACUCGAAU